UUCACCGCACACGUUGGGAAAACUACUCAACAACAAUAUAAUUAACAAAAUCAUUUGCAUUUUCCUCCAUUUUGUUCCUAGUCACAUGAAGAAACUAUGGUUUCUCAUUGGCUAAUUGAUUCAAACAGCUCAGCACUUAGCUCACAACAUCCGCAGACGCUGAGAUUAUUUCCUCGCGAGGUGAAAAAUAUCAAACACGAUAGAUAUUUUCCUCAAGGCCUCGAGAGGUCAAAUCCUCACGUAAAC
rnacentral:lncRNA from 1 species